rnacentral:lncRNA from 1 species
AUAUUACGAUAUAAUGAUACUUAGUAUUGCAAUCAAUGACAUUUUUUUCAAGAAUUUUAAGAGAGAUUUUGCAAGUUCAUUACAUAAAUAUUUUCAUUAAAACGUGGGUGGGAAAUCUGAUGGGUGAGAAGAGCAUUCAUACAUACAAACCAAUUAUGGAGACGAAAUUAAAACUGGCAAUUAUUCUCGGACCGAAGACUUGGUCAUUUUCAUGGUUUGAGUCUCAUUUCCUUGCUCCUUCUAUUUUUAAUUCUUUUAUUAGCUUUCAACGGUUGAGAACUUGCAUGCAAAGAUUCAAGACUUUCCUUUCUCACCGUGUGAGCCGGCUAUUAAUUAAAAAAAUAUACGUAUAUUAUCUCUACUAAUUAAUAAAACUUUUAUUGUCAAUCAAAAGAAAGUGAAAAGAUAAAUUAGUUUUCUAUCACACAAAAAAAUGAUGGGCAAUAAUGUAAUUUCACAUGUCCAAAUUUUACUAUUUUUAUUUAAACCUCACCUACAUGUGAUGUUAAAAUACCUCUAAUAUUUAUUAAAAAUAAAUAAAUAAAUAAAUAAAUAAACCA